AUGCAACCAGGGGCGAGCCCUCCACUCCCUCAAGCCCAUCAGGAGGUGGAUCGAUCGGCCCCGAUGGGCACCGCAUCGACACAGAAAACCGGGGGCCGGCGCAUAAGGUGUAUGUUCUGCCUUCGGUCAGAGGCCCGUAGUGAAGACUAUUUCAAGUUUUGGGGCACACCUAUGAAUCAAUGGAUAUCUCUUGCCACAUCACUGUUUGAAGGUCAAGCUGCACGGUGGCUAGAAUCAGCGCGCCGUCGAGUUUCCAAUGUGACCUGGGACGAGUUCUACCGUUUGCUGCAGUCCAAGUUCGACCGUAACCUGCAUCAGUCGGUUUUGAGGAAAUUUUUCAAUAUUCAGCAAACUGUCACAGUGGAAGACUAUGUAGAUCGUUUCUCAGACUUGUUUGAUCAGCUGACAUCAUAUGAGCAAUACCCCAACACUGUGCACCAUGUCACACGAUUCAUGGAGGGGCUUAAGCCAGUGGUCAGAGUAGCAGUGGGCAUACAGCAACCACCAGACCUGGACACGGCCUACCAAUUGGCCCUAUUGCACGAGGAGUUGGGCGCAAGUAGUCUGUCUGCGAUCACCAGCAGCAGCCACUCAACGCGUCGAGCAGCGGCUCUUCCCCUUCCUCCACUACCCAAUAGUUCUUAG
rnacentral:rRNA from 1 species